rnacentral:lncRNA from 1 species
GAGGGGACGGGGGGCGGGUAGGACGCCGUCGUGUGCUUCCCGGCGACGUCUCCCGGGAGGCGCAGUUCCUUGCGCCGGGCGCGUCUCCGCGGGCCUCACCUGCAGCGCCUCGGGAGCCCAGGCCUCCUGUCCCUGCGACUAGGGGACGGGCUGCGUGGAGCGGGAAAGCGGUGUGGAGAGCAUAGCCCAAGACAAUGUCAACGUGUGAAACCUGAUAUGUAACCCCCAAGAGUGAAGUGUGAUAUCUAAUCAAACAGAUUGAAUGUGUGACACCCUGUGACGUGUGCAACCCCAAUAGCUAAUCAUACAGCCCCAAUAUGUACGAAGUGAUAAACCCGAACUAGUGCCACACACCCCAAGUUAGAAUAGUAUAAGAGAGAGAGAGAGAGAGAGCAGAAGACCAGCUCGUCCCACUGGACGUCGGGUCCAGCUCGCGGACGCUCAGCUAGAUGAGAUCUCAGAGGAGAGCUCGGAUGCCUGCCCGGAGUGGACCCCUGAAUCGAGGAGGUCAUCCGAUCGACAACCGCAAUCACCAGGAAGGGAGAAACCAAGCCGCGCUCCUCGGACUUGUGCAGGGUACGUCCAGAAAGCCUCAGGAACCUCAGGAAAAGCCCGGGAGAGCCCCUGUGCAAGAGCUGAUCAUCAAGCGCCCCGAGGUGAUGGUCUCCGCCCCAUUCAAGGGUCCUGCUUUUCCAAACCACCUGAAGCCAAGGGCAGGUGCCACGGGAAGGUACACGGCAACCUUGGUUCCAGAGGAGCUGCUUAUCAACUGGGGAGCCUGGGAAACCCACACACAUGUGGUACAGCCUUGCGCUACAGGUGUAGAGAAGGAGAGUAGACUAAUACGUGUUCAGAAGCUUCAUGAAGAACAGAGGUGUAUGUGGGCUGAUUAA